rnacentral:lncRNA from 1 species
UGACAAUGAUGGGCACACGAGCGUUAUCUUCCUUGUUGUACAUACCAGGGAGUUGGACAUUGGUGGGGUUAUCAGCAAUGUUCAUGAGUGUGGCAUUCACCAUCUGGUUGUUGACAGUGUAUUGUGUGGUUCCACCCAUACGACCUGCUCCUGCAUCGAGAUCGUUGAUGAACAGACAACACAUCUUUCCCUUCCUGAUAAUGUCAGCGGCUUCACGGUAUCUCUGUCUGAUCAGUUUUGCUGGCUCUCCUGCAUUUCCACUUUCAAGCUCUCCAGCACUCAUCAUGAUGGGGCUGUAACACAAUUUCAACAUCAAAUUAUGUAGAAGAUUAUGUAGCACAACAUAUGCUAUAUACUGAGCAUAUUUGGAAGAGCUUCUUUGGUCUUGCUUCAUGAAAUAAGCACUUGAAUUAGGCCAUGUUUGCACAAUAAGUUUAUUAAGACCUUAUAGCAUAAACAUUGAUCGUAUAUGUAUAAGCUAUUUCUAUAACAAAAAGAUAAAAUAAAUUCAAAUAAGCCAUAAACUGCUUUUGUACGCUAUCUUGGAGUGCUUAUCGGAAAGAAAAAAAAAGACAACAUCUUAUAGACAUCGUUUAUUUUCAUAAGCUCUCCUAAAUAGUCUCGCAAGCGUAUACGUCAAUAGAACUCAC